rnacentral:misc_RNA from 1 species
GAUGAAGAACGCAGCGAGAUGCGAUAAGUAAUGUGAAUUGCAGAAUUCAGUGAAUCAUCGAAUCUUUGAACGCACCUUGCACCCUUUGGCAUUCCGAAGGGUAUGCUCGUUUGAGUGUCAUUGUACUCUCACUCUCCCGAUACUUUUGGAUCGGGAGUGGUGGACUUGGGUGCUGCUGCUUAACUGUGGCUCGCCUUAAAUGAAGUAGUGCAACUCUCGGUUGGACAUAGUACGGCGUGAUAAGUGUCUUCGCCGGCGCCUCAUUCGAGGGUGGCCGAUCGGGAGCUCUGUGCUUCAAACUGUCUUCGGACAACAUCUGACAACUUGACCUCAAAUCGAGUAGGACUACCCGCUGAACUUAAGCAUAUCAAUAAGCGGAGGA